ensembl:snoRNA SNORA63 Small nucleolar RNA SNORA63
GUGCAGGAUUAAGUUACGGCGCCGCCCUCCCCUGCGGCCCUGCCGUCGUUCCCCCUGCAGACAGGAAGUGAUGUCCUACUAUCCCUCCCUGCCGACCAAUCGCGUGGCUCCGGAGGGACGCUUGGGCACCGACAU